UUUGUAGGCCAAGCUGGAGGAGGCAAGACUGCAGACGAAACCAGUCCAGGAACGUGGAUAUAUGAUAAGACCAGACAUAAGGCAAGGGCACGCCCCAAAGGCGAGGGUCUGACCCCGUAUCAGGGCAAAAAGCGCUGUUUCGGAGAGUACAAGUGUCCCAAGUGCAAGAGAAAAUGGAUGAGCGGGAACUCUUGGGCCAACAUGGGACAGGAGUGCAUCAAGUGCCACAUCAACGUGUACCCACACAAGCAGAGACCCCUGGAGAAGCCCGAUGGCCUGGACGUGUCUGACCAGAGCAAGGAGCACCCCCAGCACCUGUGCGAGAAGUGCAAGGUGCUGGGCUACUACUGCCGGCGCGUGCAAUGACCCGGCCGCCCACCAUGCCCCACCGCCCUCCUGCCAGCUGGAGAAGACGCAACCACCCUGCAUGUCCCCAAGUGUGCACGUGCAAGGGGGCAUCCUCAAAGGCUUACAGGUCUGGUGGGUGGGCUCUUAUGUUCUUGUAUGUUGACAAACAGUGUUAACUGACGUAGCUGCCGCCCCACAAGGCCCGCUCUCUGCGACUCUCUACAGGUGGGCCUGGGUCUGUGUGGAGGGGACAAGGUGAGCAGAGGUCAGCGCACAGGACCCCACAGAGCCUUCAGCGUCCCCUGCAGGCUCUCCUCUGAGACUCCCUUUUGGGUGAGCAGCCUUACAUUGGCCACAAGUGCACUAAAUUUACUGUGAAUCCCAGAGCCUGCAGGGGAUGGUCUCCCAAAACCAGCCAGGUGGCCUUCUCCCACCCAGAACCUUCCAGUUUGCCCUGUGUGAAAAGCCACUCUUGGAAAGCCCUAAUUUUCUAAGUCAGUGCUCAUGGCAAGCUGACUCCUGUUCUAGCAGCUGCUGGGGAGCGGGCAUCUCUGCCCCCUGCCACUUUGAGCCCCAAACCUGACUGCCUCUGAAGCCACUGGCAUUGCACCUGGGCCCCGCACAUCUCCCCUCCCCCUACACCCCAGAGGUCAGGGAUGGGGAGGCACUGAAUGUUGGACGGUGCUCCAGCGUGUGACCUGGGGCACAGAGGGCAACGCCCCCUCCCCCACCACAGACUUCCCCCACGCGUUUGGAUUUUGCCAGCCCUAUCCCCUUCCCUUCUCCUUCCCCUCUCACCCAUGCUGGGGAGCCACACCCGGAAGGAGGCAAUAGGACCCAGCAGGGAAACCACUCUGGCAGGAAGGACCCAGGCCUGGCAGUCCAAAGACCUGGGUUUUAAUGCUGACCCCGCCACUGAUGCACUACAGAGCCUUGAGAAGGAUUCUCACCUCUGGGCCUCUGUUUCCCCACUGAGAGAAAGAGAGAGUGACACCAGAGAGGCCCAUUUCUGUCCUGAUGUUCUGGAAUUCUGCCUGGCUGGGUGCCAUCUCCUGGAGCAGAGAGCUUUAUUUGGAGAGUUUCCCCAGGCUCCCUACCCAUCCCCUUCCCACUAUCACCCAUCAGUCAGUCACUUAAGAAAUCAGGUGGAGGGAUGCAGGUCCUCCCCUGUUGCCCCCUGCAACCCCAGCCAUGUCUUUUGUCCCCUACCCUGCAAACGUGAAGGAGAAAGGUCUCCCCCUCCUUACAGGGCAACCCCAAGACACGCUACAGAACCUCUGGUUUGCAAAGUGGGGACAAUGAUUCCUACCUCCCGAGGGGGCGGAGAGGCCUCCUGGCACUCACACUGGACAGGCCUGCCAAUGCUGUCCUGGCUAGUGGGAAGGAUUGCCUUCCUCUCUGCUCUGUCCCCCAUGAGAAGCCCUAUUUGCUUUGUCAUAUUACCCUUCCUUUCUCCCAGGGCUGGGUCCUUUGAUGUUGCCCCAACAUUAUGCCUCUGUGGGGAAAAAAAAAAAAAAAAAAAAAAAAUCAGACCGCGGAAUGGGCCUGAAAUUCAGUGUUUACCACGGCUCAAGGACACCCAACCUGGGGCCGGUCGUCUUUGGUUUUCAAGUGAAAAUGCUUUGUACAACUGAGGAGUUACGGCAAAGUGUUAAUCAGGGGUCCAGGGAGUGAGUUGAAGAGAUGGAGUUGAGAGUGUUUGCAGCCAGAGGGCUGCAGGGUAGAUUGGGGGGGACCAAGCCCUCUGAGCACUUAGGAAGGGUGUGUGUGCUCCAGCCUGAGCCCUGUAGCUGCCUCCCUCCAGGCCUGCAGGGGCAGAACGCCCGCCACCAACUGUGAACGUGCUUACCGCCCACUGAAGAAUCCCUCUGCUCCCUGCCUGCUCUACUGUGUCAAGGUGAGCCAGAGUCACCCUGGCCCUGGGUUCUCUGUCCCCGAGAAGCUGUCACUGUCAGUCAUCCUCGUGUCCCUCUAAAGAGAGCAUUCACAAGGGGUGGCAGUGUCCUGGUUUCCACUGCGAGGACAAGGCCCCAAGACUUCCAGGGACCUGGCCCCACAGGGAGGACCUGGGCUUCUGGGUGCUUGGGCUGAGGUUGUGCGGGAAGUCCACAUCCUAGAAAGAACCCAGGCUCCAGACUCCAGAAGGAAUAUCACCCCAAAGUGACCUUUGCAGUGGGCUUGUCCAGCUGGCAGUCACUGCCGCUGCCAUCUGUGCAGAAUCAGCCACUGUGGGGGGGCUAGGCCCUCCUGCCUGGGGCAGCCCUUCCAUAUUGCCCCCGCCCCCUGGCUGAAUUUGGGAGCUCUGUGUGGUCAGCAAAAGCCACUGCUGUCCAGGCUGGUGCUGUGAGAAUUAAGUGCUCAGAGGGCCCGGGCGUCCAGGAGACAAGAAAGUGUGUGGUUUCAGUAUGUUCAAAAGGGACAAUCGCUUGCAGUUAGUAGAUCUAGCGAUCUAGUUGGGAGAUAAUGGUGUUUACCCCAUAUGAAGUAUUCAAUAGUUCUACUUGUGAAUUUGUAUUUAUUUUGAGUUAUACUUGACACAGAAUUCCUUUUUUUUUUUUUUUUUAAAGAAAAAUACUAUGUGUGUAUUUUGAAAAGAAAAUUCAUGGAUGUUAAAAUUUCUGCAUGGUUUCCAAUUUUUCUCACAACACUGAAUUUGUUACCUUCUCCCGAAAGAUCUUCACAGUGAUUUUUGUCUGUAUAUAUUUGAGGGCC
rnacentral:lncRNA from 1 species